rnacentral:rRNA from 1 species
ACUGGCGGCGUGCAUAACACAUUCAAGUCGAACGAUGAAGGGACUUCGGUCCUGGAAUAGUGGCGGACGGGUGAGUAACGCGUGAGCAACCUGCCUUGCAUUGGGGGAUAACGUUUGGAAACGAACGCUAAUACCGCAUAACGUAUAAAUAUCGCAUGUUAGAUAUACCAAAGAUUUAUUGAUGCAAGAUGGGCUCGCGUCCGAUUAGAUAGUUGGUGAGGUAACGGCCCACCAAGUCGACGAUCGGUAGCCGGACUGAGAGGUUGAACGGCCACAUUGGAACUGAGAAACGGUCCAGACUCCUACGGGAGGCAGCAGUGGGGAAUAUUGGGCAAUGGGCGAAAGCCUGACCCAAGCGACGCCGCGUGAGGGAAGAAGAUCUUCGGAUUGUAAACCUCUUUCAGCAAGGAAGAAGAAAGUGACGGUACUUGCAGAAGAAGCCACGGCUAACUACGUGCCAGCCGCCGC